rnacentral:ncRNA from 1 species
GCAACCGCGAAAGCGGGGGGCGACGAAGCGGAAGCGAGAAUGUCGGCUUGAGUAACGAAAACAUUGGUGAGAAUCCAAUGCCCCGAAAACCCAAGGUUUCCUCCGCAAGGUUCGUCCACGGAGGGUGAGUCAGGGCCUAAGAUCAGGCCGAAAGGCUUAGUCGAUGGACAACAGGUCAAUAUUCCUGUACUACCCCUUGUUGGUACGGAGGGACGGAGGAGGCUAGGUUAGCCGAAAGAUGGUUAUAGGUUUAAGGACACAAGGUGACCCUGCUUUUUCAGGGUAAGAAGGGGUAGAGAAAAUGCCUCGAGCCGAGGU